rnacentral:rRNA from 1 species
GGGUUGUGAGGUUAAGCGACUAAGCGUACACGGUGGAUGCCCUGGCAGUCAGAGGCGAUGAAGGACGUGCUAAUCUGCGAAAAGCGUCGGUAAGGUGAUAUGAACCGUUAUAACCGGCGAUGUCCGAAUGGGGAAACCCAGUGUGAUUCGUCACACUAUCGUUAACUGAAUACAUAGGUUAACGAGGCGAACCGGGGGAACUGAAACAUCUAAGUACCCCGAGGAAAAGAAAUCAACCGAGAUUCCCCCAGUAGCGGCGAGCGAACGGGGAGCAGCCCAGAGUCUGAAUCAGCUUGUGUGUUAGUGGAACGGUCUGGAAAGUCCGACGGUACAGGGUGAUAGUCCCGUACACCAAAAUGCACAGGUUGUGAACUCGAAGAGUAGGGCGGGACACGUGGUAUCCUGUCUGAAUAUGGGGGGACCAUCCUCCAAGGCUAAAUACUCCUGACUGACCGAUAGUGAACCAGUACCGUGAGGGAAAGGCGAAAAGAACCCCGGCGAGGGGAGUGAAAAAGAACCUGAAACCGUGUACGUACAAGCAGUGGGAGCACCUUCGGGUGUGACUGCGUACCUUUUGUAUAAUGGGUCAGCGACUUAUAUUCUGUAGCAAGGUUAACCGUAUAGGGGAGCCGCAGGGAAACCGAGUCUUAACUGGGCGUUAAGUUGCAGGGUAUAGACCCGAAACCCGGUGAUCUAGCCAUGGGCAGGUUGAAGGUUGGGUAACACUAACUGGAGGACCGAACCGACUAAUGUUGAAAAAUUAGCGGAUGACUUGUGGCUGGGGGUGAAAGGCCAAUCAAACCGGGAGAUAGCUGGUUCUCCCCGAAAGCUAUUUAGGUAGCGCCUCGUGAAUUCAUCUUCGGGGGUAGAGCACUGUUUCGGCUAGGGGGUCAUCCCGACUUACCAACCCGAUGCAAACUACGAAUACCGAAGAAUGUUAUCACGGGAGACACACGGCGGGUGCUAACGUCCGUCGUGAAGAGGGAAACAACCCAGACCGCCAGCUAAGGUCCCAAAGUCAUGGUUAAGUGGGAAACGAUGUGGGAAGGCACAGACAGCCGGAUGUUGGCUUAGAAGCAGCCAUCAUUUAAAGAAAGCGUAAUAGCUCACUGGUCGAGUCGGCCUGCGCGGAAGAUGUAACGGGGCUAAACCAUGCACCGAAGCUGCGGCAGCGACACUAUGUGUUGUUGGGUAGGGGAGCGUUCUGUAAGCCUGCGAAGGUGUGCUGUGAGGCAUGCUGGAGGUAUCAGAAGUGCGAAUGCUGACAUAAGUAACGAUAAAGCGGGUGAAAAGCCCGCUCGCCGGAAGACCAAGGGUUCCUGUCCAACGUUAAUCGGGGCAGGGUGAGUCGGCCCCUAAGGCGAGGCCGAAAGGCGUAGUCGAUGGGAAACAGGUUAAUAUUCCUGUACUUGGUGUUACUGCGAAGGGGGGACGGAGAAGGCUAUGUUAGCCGGGCGACGGUUGUCCCGGUUUAAGCAUGUAGGCUGGUUGUCCAGGCAAAUCCGGAUAAUCAAGGCUGAGGUGUGAUGACGAGGCACUACGGUGCUGAAGUAACAAAUGCCCUGCUUCCAGGAAAAGCCUCUAAGCAUCAGGUAACAUCAAAUCGUACCCCAAACCGACACAGGUGGUCAGGUAGAGAAUACCAAGGCGCUUGAGAGAACUCGGGUGAAGGAACUAGGCAAAAUGGUGCCGUAACUUCGGGAGAAGGCACGCUGGUGUGUAGGUGAAGUCCCUGCGGAUGGAGCUGAGACCAGUCGAAGAUACCAGCUGGCUGCAACUGUUUAUUAAAAACACAGCACUGUGCAAACACGAAAGUGGACGUAUACGGUGUGACGCCUGCCCGGUGCCGGAAGGUUAAUUGAUGGGGUUAUCCGUAAGGAGAAGCUCUUGAUCGAAGCCCCGGUAAACGGCGGCCGUAACUAUAACGGUCCUAAGGUAGCGAAAUUCCUUGUCGGGUAAGUUCCGACCUGCACGAAUGGCGUAAUGAUGGCCGCUGUCUCCACCCGAGACUCAGUGAAAUUGAACUCGCUGUGAAGAUGCAGUGUACCCGCGGCAAGACGGAAAGACCCCGUGAACCUUUACUAUAGCUUGACACUGAACAUUGAGCCUUGAUGUGUAGGAUAGGUGGGAGGCUUUGAAGCGUGGACGCCAGUCUGCGUGGAGCCAACCUUGAAAUACCACCCUUUAAUGUUUGAUGUUCUAACGUUGGCCCCUUACCGGGGUUGCGGACAGUGUCUGGUGGGUAGUUUGACUGGGGCGGUCUCCUCCCAAAGCGUAACGGAGGAGCACGAAGGUUAGCUAAUCCUGGUCGGACAUCAGGAGGUUAGUGCAAUGGCAUAAGAGCUUGACUGCGAGCGUGACGGCGCGAGCAGGUGCGAAAGCAGGUCAUAGUGAUCCGGUGGUUCUGAAUGGAAGGGCCAUCGCUCAACGGAUAAAAGGUACUCGGGGAUAACAGGCUGAUACCGCCCAAGAGUUCAUAUCGACGGCGGUGUUUGGCACCUCGAUGUCGGCUCAUCACAUCCUCGGGGCUGAAGUAGGUCCCAAGGGUAUGGCUGUUCGCCAUUUAAAGUGGUACGCGAGCUGGGUUUAGAACGUCGUGAGACAGUUCGGUCCCUAUCUGCCGUGGGCGCUGGAGAAUUGAGGGGGGCUGCUCCUAGUACGAGAGGACCGGAGUGGACGCAUCACUGGUGUUCGGGUUGUCAUGCCAAUGGCACUGCCCGGUAGCUAAAUGCGGAAGAGAUAAGUGCUGAAAGCAUCUAAGCACGAAACUUGCCCCGAGAUGAGUUCUCCCUGAGACUUUAAGUCUCCUGAAGGAACGUUGAAGACGACGACGUUGAUAGGCCGGGUGUGUAAGCGCAGCGAUGCGUUGAGCUAACCGGUACUAAUGAACCGUGAGGCUUAACCUUACAACGCCGAAG